UCUCCCCUUCGAUUCUCUCGCUCACGACAGUUUCUCCUCCCAUCACCCCACCAACGGAUUCCGCCCUUUAGCCCCCCGUUUCUUCUCCUUAAUCUCCCCCAAUUCGUAACUGAGGCAAAAAUCAAGGUAGGGCGACCGCCCUACUGGGUCCUCCGCCCGUGCUCUCCCAUCGCCCGCGUAUCUGGAUGGGGGGGGGGGGGGGGGGGAGCUCGGGUCCAGCGCCGCCAUCACCCAAAAGUCGAGCCCCGUCGCGAUUCAGGCACAGUCGCGGUUCGAUUUCCGGCGGCCAUGGAUGGGGAUGGCGACCGGAAGACCUCGCAUGCUGGUGGAGGCGAGAGGCUGGGUGUGGGGAGCGGUCGGACCUCACGAGUUCCCUACAGCUUCGACACGAUUCCUCUCCCUAGCGCCGCCGCCCGCAGGUUUUGCAUUUGACAAUGGACUAACAGAUCCAGCAAUACUGUAUAAGGCAUACACUGAUUAUGCGUUGGAUAUGGGCUUAAUCACAAUAUAACAAGAUGGGUUAUCUCUGUGGAGUGAUGAUGGUAGAAUAGGUGGGGUGGUAAAUGUAGGUAAUUCUGAUGGGAUGGUUGGAGCUGUGCUAAUCUCUGCUAUUGCUGAUAAAAUAUCAAUAUCAAUGAUGACAUUGGAAUAUUCUUUAGCGAUAUCUUAUUAAGGCGCUCCCAAGGGAACAUGUUGCCUUGGUUUGACCUUUCAUUUUGCAUUGGAUUGUUUACAGGCAGGUUAGGGCUGCCAAAAGGCAUGCCUCCUCCAUAUAGUAGUCCAUGAAGUAAUUCAUAUGGAGAACCUAGCAGUGGAAAUGUGAAGUAUACUUCUGCUCUAAUAUCAUUACUCACUGAGCAUGCUGCUGGAAAAAUAUUUCCAUUGCUUUUGGACUAUUAUGUAACUGUUUCACCAAUCCUAGGACAUUUUGAAGAUGUACUGAUGUUUCAUGUGGCACUGUAGAACCAUGGUUUUGCUGGGUCCUGUCACCAACCAGAAGGGAGAGCUCAAAAAAGUUUAGUGUUCAUAUGAGUAUGCUAGUGGUACUAAUGCUGGGUCUACAAUCUGGUCACAAGGAUCCAGUUCUGCAGCCACGCCUUUCAUAAAAAAAUUCCUGAAAUUCUUAUAUUGAUCUCAGCAAGCACGAUUGAGCUUCAUACACCAUGAGUUUCCUUUGGAGUUCGACCCUUGGGUGCUUCUCUAAAAGCAUGUGCAAUCUAUUUAUAUAAAUAUUGAGGUUAUAUCAUGAGGCAGAACAGGAUCAGGACUUUCUUUCAUCUAGAACUGCAACAUCUCUUUAUGAAUUGUUUGUUUUGAUAGUAGUAUGUCUCCUUAGAACUUUGGGAACUUUGUGAUAUGUUACCAUCUUCAGAGAAAUCGUUUGUCAAAUUGCUUUGUGAUAUACCAUAUUUAUCUGAAGGUGCUUUAAAGCUGCUAGAGUUUAUGUUCUGAAAAUAAUGAGAAGCAGGAUAAGAAUCUUCAGAGUGUGAUAGGGUACCUCAAGGUCUAAUUGCUGUCAGGAACCUUAUCAUGUGAACUUUCAAUCUGGACAGAUAUUGCAAGAUUGUUUUGCAGGUGCUGCACGGAUACCAUGAUGUAUCUCUGAUACUGUUGGUCUGAUUUGUUGUAAACUGACAAUAACAUGCCUGGGACAUCUGCGAGUGGCAACGUGAGAGUUAUCUGUUUUGACUUCUGAUUUGGUGGUAGAGUGCCAAAGGAAGCAAACUCGUCAUGAAUUACAGUUUUAUUUUAUUUCCGCAUUCUUAGUAGAAUUGUGAAUCACUAAAUCAGUUACCUGCUUCUCUUGAGGGUGUUUCCAUUCAUAAAAUACAAGCAGUGGUUUGUCAUUUCUAUUUCCCAUUCACUUACAUGAGCUUUAGAUUAAACUCUGAAGAUGUAAUUACAAUUUUCACAUUCUUGGUAGAAUUGUGAAGCACCAAAUCAGUUACCUGCUUCUUUUGAGGGUGUUUCAAUAUAUAAAAUACAAUCAGGGGUUGGUCA